rnacentral:tRNA from 1 species
GCGCUCGUAGCUCAGCUGGAUAGAGUACCUGGCUACGAACCAGGCGGUCAGAGGUUCGAAUCCUCUCGAACGCGCCA